AGCUUGCUGCUUUGCUGACGAGUGGCGGACGGGUGAGGUAAUGUCUGGGAAACUGCCUGAUGAGGGGGAUAACUACUGGAAACGGUAGCUAAUACCGCAUAAUGUCGCAAGACCAAAAGGGGGGACCUUCGGGCCUCUCACUAUCGGAUGAACCCAGAUGGGAUUAGCUAGUAGGCGGGGUAAUGGCCCACCUAGGCGACGAUCCCUAGCUGGUCUGAGAGGAUGACCAGCCACACUGGAACUGAGACACGGUCCAGACUCC
rnacentral:rRNA from 1 species